AGGCUUACCGCCUUUUAAGGGUGAGAGAUUUGAAGAAACAAAAGUUCCGACAGCGCUCCAAAUAGUCUUAACUGUGAGAGGUCCCUGGGGAAUUGGGGCGAUUCGUGAUUGGUCGAAGGGGUUUUCGGGACUGUGACGCGUUCGUGCUGCUCUGAUCGCGACGCGACUAAUCUUAUUCGAUGUAGAAUGACUUUUUACAUAGACGACGAUAACUUUUAUCGGUGUGGCGUGUGGGUACUGGCUACUGGGGCGACUGGGUAUUCAUUGGAAUUCAUCGAUCUAAUGAUUCUAAUAAGAAAAAAAAACCAUGCCUCCAGUGUCACAACUGAUUAUUCCUUUACCCAUCAAAUGCCAGAUUGGCACAUAGUUCAAAUGUGGGUGCUGAAUGAACUGAUUACAUUUAUCAUCAGACAUCUCUCCCUUUCCUAUGUCUUGAAGAUGACGACAAGUUGCCAGUUGAUUUACAUGUCACCUUUACUGAUAUCCUAGCACACCAUACUUUAUUUGGCAUAAAAAAAAGGUUUCCCUUCUGGGUUUCCCUCAUUUAAAAGGCCUUGAUGAUGUAAUGGUGCUAUGCCAAAAUUUUAUCAACGUAGAGAAAUUAAAGCUGCAGCUGUGGGAAAUGGAAUUGACAAUUACAUUCAUCACAGACACAUUUCAGUUUCAGAAAGUGGAGUUUUGUCUUGAAGAUGACAAAAGUUGCCCGUUGAUUUACAUGUCACCUUAAGUGAUGUCAUAGCAGCUACUUGUCAUUUAAAUAGUUUGUUACCAUACUUUAUUUGACAUGAUUGUUUUAUAGAGUUAUUUCAUUUUGGUUUUUUUUCAGGCAUACUUCAAUUUCAGAAAAUUUUGUCUUGAAGAUGACAAGUUGCCAGUCAAUAUACAUAAAACCCUAAGUGAUAUCAUAACAGGAACUUGUCGCCCGGAAGUAUUUGAGACUUGACCAACAUGGACGACGUGCCCUGGGAGAACCUUCAACACGCACUCGCCCUCCUUGCGUUCCCUUCUGACACUCGGGUAUCACCACACAAGGAGUUGCUCGAUGCGUCGAGGUGGAAUGCCUCGAUUGAAAAAUUUCGUCAAGACUAUUUCCGCCUCUAUCAGUUGGCUCCAUUGUCUGUGUUGGCUGUUGCGUUGCAAGCUGGUCUCUCCACAAUGAAAACUCCGCAAUGUUAUCGCCCAAUGGAUCAGAGGAAUGUUGAAUGUCCCAUGUGCCAAGAACUAUUGAACAAGUUUGCUGAACGAUUACUCACGCUCAUUGCUCACAAUCAAGAUAGAUCUGUCGCUUUUCGGGCUUAUCUCUUAACGAACAUAACUUACCUAUGAUGCUACCCAACGGUCGUGUGUACGGAGAGCAGACAUUUAUCAGUUUUCGUGCACAAGUUCAACCAUAUUGUGUUUGUUUUUGAAUCAAUAGGCCUUGCGGACUAUACCUGUGCUCGCAGCAAAGAAGUCUUCGCUGUCAAAGAUGUAGAGAAAGUUUAUGUUAUGUAGUGUUUUUUAUGUACUUAGUAAUACAUUAUUUUCGUGAA
rnacentral:lncRNA from 1 species